rnacentral:lncRNA from 1 species
GCAUAUUGACCUUGAUUUUCCGUUUGAUCUAGAUCAUGUAACUCAUGGCGUUCUCUAGGUUUCUCAUGAUUCUACUGUUGAUUAGCGCAGUUUCAGCUCAUACAGUCCAAGAUCGGUGUCUCUAUUGGAAACACUAUCUUGCGAAGGCAUGAAAGGGAAUGUCCUUUAUUAAAGGAAAUCAACUUAUCAUCAACAUCAAUUACUUCCUCUUUAUCUACAAU